rnacentral:tRNA from 1 species
GGGGCGGUAGCUCAGCUGGGAGAGCGUCCGGCUGAAGACCGGAAGGUCGUGGGUUCAAAUCCCACCCGCCCCA